GGACUAAUAUCUCCUAUUCUAGUGUAUAGGAGUGUUAAUUGAGGUUGAGUUUAAGGACUAAUAUCUCCUAUUCUAGUGUAUAGGAGUGUUUAUUGAGGUUGAGUUUAAGGACUAAUAUCUCCUAUUCUAGUGUAUAGGAGUGUUUAUUGAGGUUGAGUUUAAGGACUAAUAUCUCCUAUUCUAGUGUAUAGGAGUGUUUAUUGAGG